rnacentral:rRNA from 1 species
UCGCACGAGAAAGGGCUUCGGCCCCGGUAAAGUGGCGCACGGGUGAGUAACACGUAGGUAAUCUCCCCUCGAGUGGUGGAUAACCCUCCGAAAGGAGAGCUAAUACAGCAUGAGACCACGAGCUCUUCGGAGCUUGCGGCCAAAGCAGGCCUCUACAUGUAAGCUUGCGCUGGAGGAUGAGCCUGCGGCCCAUCAGGUAGUUGGCAGGGUAAUGGCCUACCAAGCCUAAGACGGGUAGCUGGUCUGAGAGGAUGAACAGCCACACUGGAACUGACACACGGUCCAGACUCCUACGGGAGGCAGCAGUGGGGAAUCUUGCGCAAUGGGCGAAAGCCUGACGCAGCGACGCCGCGUGAGCGAUGAAGGCCUUCGGGUUGUAAAGCUCUGUGGGGAGGGAAGAAUAAGGGUUGGCUAAUAUCCAACUCGAUGACGGUACCUCCUUAGCAAGCACCGGCUAACUCUGUGCCAGCAGCCGCGGUAAUACAGAGGGUGCGAACGUUG